rnacentral:rRNA from 1 species
UACGAAGGGGGCUAGCGUUGCUCGGAAUGACUGGGCGUAAAGGGCGCGUAGGCGGCACACACAGUCAGGCGUGAAAUUCCUGGGCUUAACCUGGGGGCUGCGUUUGAGACGUGUGAGCUAGAGGAUGGAAGAGGCUCGUGGAAUUCCCAGUGUAGAGGUGAAAUUCGUAGAUAUCGAGAGGAACACCUGCGGCGAAGGCGGGUUGCUGGGCUGACACUGACGCUGAGGCGCGAAAGCUAGGGGAGCGAACGGG